rnacentral:rRNA from 1 species
CCUACGGGAGGCAGCAGUGGGGAAUAUUGCACAAUGGGGGAAACCCUGAUGCAGCGACGCCGCGUGAGUGAAGAAGUAUUUCGGUAUGUAAAGCUCUAUCAGCAGGAACGAGACAAGACGGUACCUGACCAAGAAGCCCCGGCUAACUACGUGCCAGCAGCCGCGGUAAUACGUAGGGGGCAAGCGUUAUCCGGAAUCACUGGGUGUAAAGGGAGCGUAGACGGCUGUGCAAGCCUGAAGUGAAAGGCGGGGGCCCAACCCCUGGACUGCUUUGGGAACUGUACGGCUGGAGUGCAGGAGAGGUAAGUGGAAUUCCUAGUGUAGCGGUGAAAUGCGUAGAUAUUAGGAGGAACACCAGUGGCGAAGGCGGCUUACUGGACUGUAACUGACGUUGAGGCUCGAAAGCGUGGGGAGCAAACAGGAUUAGAUACCCGAGUAGUC